UACGGGGGGGGCAAGCGUUGUUCGGAAUCACUGGGCUUAAAGGGCGCGUAGGCGGGCCUUCAAGUCCGGGGUGAAAGCCUCCAGCCUAACUGGAGAAGAGCCUCGGAGACUGAGGGCCUCGAGGGAGGUAGGGGCAAGCGGAACUAUGGGUGGAGCGGUGAAAUGCAUUGAUAUCCAUAGGAACUCCGGUGGCGAAGGCGGCUUGCUGGACCUCUUCUGACGCUGAGGCGCGAAAGCCAGGGGAGCAAACGGG
rnacentral:rRNA from 1 species